AUACUUACUUGGCGUAGAGGACACCGUGAUCAUGAAGGCGGUUCCACCGGUGCGAGGCUCUUCCAUUGCGCGUCGGUCUAGCUGAUCCCCGCGAUUAGUCCAAAUCCCAGUCACUCGGAGGCCUGUAAUUUACAGUAUGAUGCUUAGUAUGUCAUG